rnacentral:lncRNA from 1 species
GGGGGACCAAGAAAUGAAGCCACAAAGAGCUUUAUAUCCAGGAGACUAAAGAGGCAAGAGCAUUCUUCCAGAUGGAGGGGUCCCAGACGUGCAAGUAAGAUGAACCCCAAGAAGUGUCACUAGAUUUAGGGACAUGAAAGUCAUGGGGGACCCCAUGCAUGUGGGCCUUUCAAAAGUCAUUGUACUGAGAGAGUUGCAAACAUUUAACCAGAGACUUUUAUUUUCUCGAUUUAGAAUUUUAGGGCAUAUCAAAUUCCAACAUGGUAAUGACAGAACGUCCCCUGCUCUCCUCUGUUUUCAUUUUAUCACGCCUCGCACUUAGAUGCUGAAAUAUACUUCUGCACUUAAAUAAGAUUUUCCUCUGACUAAAUUGCCAAUCUCCUGAGAAAAAUCUGAUAAACUAAAUUUUAAUUAAUCUCCGUUAUACCCUUCUCAUCUUUCCUCGAAUGAAUUAAUUUUUUCCCAUCGCAACUUAAUACCUAGUUCGCUCGCACACCAAGUUUUACUUUAGAACACUUACUGUGGCUCACAUUUUCUCUGCCUUCCUUUUUUCCCCCCAAUGGUCACAUUUUUAAACAAAGAUGUGUUUUCCCUUAGAUCCAGAGGAUGUUCUAUUUUACUGUCUGUUUUUCAUCUUUAACUAACUCACCAAGAAAUUAUGUAUUAAGCGCCCUUCCUGUGCUGGGAUGAGGAUGAACAAGACACCCUUCCAGCCACUAAAAGGAACAGUGAAGUUCGUUUUAGUGAACAGAUACCUGAGGGGGUAUCUGUAAUGCGAUGCCUAAGUCAGGGACGCUGGGUCUUACGGAAGCUCCUAAUCUCACGGGAGAAGCUGAUGCCAGGUAAAAAUGUAGCUGCUGUUGUUUUCAUGCUUUUUUGACCUGGUUUUGAGGUUCUGAUGAGAGGCUGGUCAGUUUCCUGUCUUGAGCAGCUCAUUGAGUUCAUACUCCAACACACUCCAAACUUCUCCACUGGUGGCUCUCACCCUCCAGGGCCAACAGGCACCCACCCUAGUAUCUCUGGGGGACAAGUACCAGAUAGGUAGGGACAGCGUGAUGCCCAGAGUCCUGGAAAGUAUUCAAGGUGAUCAGUGUAGAGUGAACUCUGUCACAUUUGUCAUGCAUAACUGCCCCUGUCACCUCUACUUGCUGUGACCUUGUCCCUGGGGGCAAGUUCCUGUGUGACCCUCCCUGGUGGCCUUCUCCUCUUUGGACCUGAAAACAGAGAGCUCUGCCUUUCAUCAUCAAAAGAACCCUUAAGUCUUAGAAGACUCCAGGUCAAAAAAAAAAAAGAAGUUCCCACUGUAGCACAGCCAGGUCAGUGGUAUUUCUGCAGCACUAGGAGCUCAGGUCCAAUCCCCCGCCAGGGGCAGUGAGUUUAAAGGAUCCGGUAUUGCCAUAGCUGUGGCAUAGGUCACAAUGAGAGCUUGGAUCUGAUUCCUGGCCUGGGAACUUCGUAUGCCUGGGGCGGCUGAAAACAAAGACUCCAGGUCAAUUCUUAAUGGGUGUUUAGUUGGGGGCAGGUGAGGAGGGCGUGGCCAGCAGAGGAGGGCGGUCCAGGCAGAGAGGAGAGGUGAUCAAACGUGUGAUGGGAAAUCGGGGUGGGGCUGAAGUGCAGGUGCAUGAAUGAGCAUAGUCAGGACUUUGGGGUCAAGAGGAAGAUUGAGGCAGGAGGGAAGGGACCUGGGCCUCUGAAAGGCAGGAGAGGUGGGCUCCAGGAAGAUGACAGGGUAAGGACACCCUGAGGGGUGUGAGGCUGCAGAGUUCGGAGGGUUCCAGGGAAUGAAAGGGCUUUGAAGGUGGGAGUGACCUGUAGUGUCAAAUGUGGGAAAGGAGGUCAGAAAGCCCAGUGUAGGGAGUGCCUGUAGAAUCUGGCCAUUGGGAGGGGCCGGUGGUCUCAGGGAGAACAGGUCCUCUCGGGUGGUCUCUGUAGGGGUUUGAAGCAUGGGUGGGAGGAGGAAGACCAGAGUCAGUGAGGGAGGCUGUGGAGACCCUUCAACAGCAGGAGAGGAGAGAGAUGGAUCGGUGAGCUGCAGCUGGAUGCUGGCUCGAGGGAGUACAGGUGUCUGCUUCUUUCUCUCUGUCUUCCUUCCUUUUGCCUUCUCUCAUUCUCUCUCCUUCCUUCCUUCUUUUCUUCUCUUCCUUUUUCUUCUUCUCUUUUCUGUUUCCUUUUUUUCCUUCUUUCUCCCUUUCUCUCCCUUCCUUCUCUUUCUUUUUCUUUCUUCCUUUCUCCUCUCUUUCUCUCCUUCCUCCAUCCCUUUCUUUCUCUCUUGCUUUCUUUUUUCCUUUUCUUUUUUUGUCUUUUGUCUUUUUAGGGCCUCACCCACGACAUAUGGAGGUUCCCAGGCUAGGGGUCUAAUCAGAGCUGUAGCUGCUGGCCUAGGCCACAGCCACAGCAAUGUCAGAGUCUGCGACCUACACUACAGCUCACGGCUGCGCCGGAUCCUGAACCCACUGAGCGAGGCCAGGAAUUGGACCCGAAACCUCAUGGUUCCUAGUCGGAUUCGUUUCCACUGUGUCAUGAUGGGAACUCCUGUUUCUUGUGGUUUUAAAGGACCGGCAGGUGUAGUGCUGAGGUGCUGGCUGGAGUUUCUAAGCACAAGAAAGCUAUCAUAUAUCUUACAGAGAAAGCCUGUGUUGUAGAUAAGCUUCUUUCAGGUAAGAGAUGUAGUGCUGUGAAUUGUGAAUUCAGCGGUAAUGAACCAGCCAGGUGCCUAUUAAGGAAGAUGUCUUUAAACAGGAACAAGCAUCAAACAAGGUUGGGGACUGACCAGUUGAUGAUAAUGUUGUGACCAGAGGCUCGUAGGAACCUAACUCUGCAUUUCCCCCAGGAGCAAUGGUUCACAUGUGUUAAUUCAGUGUUUUCAGCAACUUUGUAGAAUGUAACUGCUGCAAAUAAUGAGCACUGACUGCAUACGCAUAUGCACAUACAUGAGUAUGAGCUAUGUGUGUAUUAUGUAUAAUUUAAUGACUCGCCCUCAUACCACCUCCGUGUGGUAGGUCCUUUCCCUUUCCCCACUAUAUAAAGGAGGAUUUGGAGACACUGAGAGGUUGAUGCCACUGACCUGCAAGUAGCAGGUCUGGGAUGUGAACUCAGGUGUGUGGCUGUAGAGUCUGUGCUAUUAGUUGCUUUGCCACAUGUCUGUUUGUGUAUAGGUCUGGACUAAGGAAGGGGAAUAAGGGGGACAUUUCUUUGGCACUGUUGACUAUCUGGCAGUACCAGGAGAAAUGACAAGUGGAUUGGUGGAAUUAGGACAAAGGUGGGCACUUCCAGCGUGACACCUCGGUGUUGUGUGUCUAGUCCACAAAGAUUCGGACUGCAGAGGAAGACCAUGAGUCAAGAGCCAAGAGUGAGCUGUUCUUUAAGCAGACACACAACAUGAAAAGAACAACACAAAACACAAAGUUAUUGAUUCCCUCCCAAGUAUAGACGCUGACAGUGGCCCCAGGGUUACAAGAGUUCAUAAAACAUGGUCCCGUCCUCAGGGAAAGUGACGUGUCACUCAGAGUCCUGAGUAACCCAUAGAUGACAGUCAAACAGUGAUAUCGGGUCAUAGGCAGGAGGAGUGCCUUCCUGGGCCUGCCAGGUGAGAAGAGACCUCCUGUAGGAAAAGCCACCUGACCUCCCUCGAGAAGCAUGAGCAAGAUGUGCUGCUUUGAACCUCCUGAAACUCAGAUACCUCAGCUUUGAGAUGAGGAUCAAAAUAGUCUAACAUAGAGCAUUAUGAGGAUCAAACAUGGUAAUUCAACCAGAACUUCCCAUCAUGGGGAUGUUUCAUGGUUGUAAGAGACAUUUCUUAAGAUACUGAACAUGUUCUAACCCUACCGGCCUCAAUAAGCAUUGCUCUACUUGUCCUGCCUUCUUUCUAGAAGACUAAGUCUGCUAUUUAGCAUUCACAAACAGCAGUGACUAUACCUACGAAGCAGUACUGGAAAAAUCCAUUCGAUGUUAGGAAAUGGUGACAAUGAUAGGCGUUUAAUAGGACACCAAUGUAUUAAUUGCAGUGAAUUCAGAAACAUAGGGAAUAUUGGGUGUGAAUAUAUUUAUCACGAUAAAAGUCUAUGGGACUUUUAUUUAAAUUUAAUGUUUCCCCCAAUCUGGUUAUUUCCGUGAGUAGCAUCUUCAGACUCAAAUAUAUAUUCUAAUCUAAGACCGUGUCUUUAACUAAGAAAGGAAAGUUAUCUUCAGAAAGAAGCUCUGUCUCUGCGAGUAGAAAUAAUUGACUGAACAGGCAUAAUGUGAUUCCUUCUUAAAGUCUGUUCUUCGAUAUGACACUUCAAUAGUAAUAGUAACGAUCUUUCUUAUUUUAUGCUCCACUAGGGCAUAUGUGGCCAAUUGUACCGCCAGUGUAAGUCUGGAUUACUUUCUAUUACUUUCUAUUGAUAAUUUUUAAUAACCGAAGACAUUUGGAACUAGAAGGCAGUCAGCGGUGCUUGCAACAAAGCAGGGGCAAUUAAGACGGGUGAGGGUUUUAAACUCCACAUUGGUCUGUGCACAUCGGGAGAGGCAAAGUCAGCCGUUAAAAAAAUUAAACCAUUUGGGGCUUGGGUUAAUGUCUGUGAACUGUUUAAUGUCAUAAUUGCCUGCUGCCUCAAUCAUCAAACUGAAUGAACUUCUAAGUUGAAAUGUCAUAAAUGUUCAGUGUAAAGAUUUAUAUAACCCAGGUAUCCGACCUACCGCCAAGCCAUGCCUGUGGCAGGAAGUGUUUGUUAUGUCUUACUCAACCUUUGGGGAAAAAAAUAAAUAAAUCCGGAAAUGUGCUUGUUCUGGCAACGAUCAAAACAUUAAGAACCAAUUCUGUUAUCUGUACGGUGUGUUCAGAAUCUGUGAUAAACAUAUCCAUUUCCUAUAAAAAAUAAUUUAGAUCCAAAUUCCUUUCAUAGAUGUAUGUGUGUGUUUAUUAUGACAAAUGAAAAUGGUUGGUGUCAUGUUUUCCCACUGUACAUUUUUCUAGAAUGUGAGAGGAACUAGUUAAGGUAAAUUCUGAAAAAAUAAGGUCAAUUUUAUGAAGAAAUACAUUAUUUUGUGGUUGUCACAUUUUGAUGUUAAAAAAGCCCCCAAUAUAUUAUAAAAUAGAUGUUAAAUAUAAACAAAUAUUUUGUAGUUAAAUAUUAUUUGGAAUUUCCCCUUUCUAUGCAAGAUAGGAGUAUAUUAAAGUUGGUGAAUUAAAAUAACUCAG